rfam:Zygosaccharomyces bailii CLIB 213 genomic, scaffold03
GCGCGAGUGGUUUAGUGGUAANAAUUCAACAUUCCCAUUGUUGAGCCCCGGGUUCGAUUCCCGGCUCGCGCA